rnacentral:rRNA from 1 species
AACGAACGCUGGCGGCAUGCCUAACACAUGCAAGUCGAACGAAGGCUUCGGCCUUAGUGGCGCACGGGUGCGUAACGCGUGGGAAUCUGCCCUUUGGUUCGGAAUAACAGCUGGAAACGGCUGCUAAUACCGGAUGAUGACGAAAGUCCAAAGAUUUAUCGCCAGAGGAUGAGCCCGCGUUGGAGUAGGUAGUUGGUGGGGUAAAGGCCUACCAAGCCGACGAUCCAUAGCUGGUCUGAGAGGAUGAUCAGCCACACUGGGACUGAGACACGGCCCAGACUCCUACGGGAGGCAGCAGUGGGGAAUAUUGGACAAUGGCCGCAAGCCUGAUCCAGCAAUGCCGCGUGAGUGAUGAAGGCCGUAGAGUUGUAAAGCUCUUUUACCCGGGAAGAUAAUGACUGUACCGAAAGAAUAAGCCCCGGCUAACUCCGUG